GUCUCCUAAGCACCUCUAUAAUAUAGCAAAUAUAUAUGCUUCAGAAAGCGUCAUCAUAUGAAUUCUCUAAUACUUUUUACUAUUAUUUUUAUUUUUUCAACACUUUAGAGCGUCGAGAUUUCAAAAGAUUCUAAAAAAUCUUGGCGAUUUAAAGUGUUAGAAUAUAUUUUAACCGAUACUUGGCAUAAGUGGAAGUAGGGACUUUUCAUUUGCGGCCGUUUAAACUGCUAGACUACAUUGAGACAAUAAGUAUUAUUAAAUAUAAAAAAAAGUGUCCUUAAAUGUUAGUUUGUUUAUAGUAUCUUCAUAUGUAAUGACCUGAUCUACUCAUAAUAAUAACUCAUUAGGUCAAACUCUCGACCCAAAAUAAUUAAAUUCAAUUAUUAAUACUCGGAUGUGUGACAUCUUAUAUUCGUGAUUUUUUUUUUUUU
rnacentral:lncRNA from 1 species